GAGUUUGAUCUUGGCUCAGGAUGAACGCUAGCGGCAGGCCUAAUACAUGCAAGUCGAGGGGCAGCGCGGGUAGCAAUACCUGGCGGCGACCGGCGCACGGGUGCGUAACACGUAUACAAUCUGCCUUUAACAGGGGGAUAGCCCGGAGAAAUCCGGAUUAAUACCCCAUAAUAUAUUGAGUGGCAUCACUUGAUAUUGAAAGCUCCGGCGGUUAGAGAUGAGUAUGCGCCUGAUUAGUUAGUUGGUGAGGUAACGGCUCACCAAGACUUCGAUCAGUAGGGGAUCUGAGAGGACUACCCCCCACACGGAUACUGAGACACGGAUCCGACUCCUACGGGAGGGCAGCAGUAAAGGAAUAAUUGGACGAAUAGCCCGCAAGGGUGGAUCCAGCCAUGCCGCGUGCAGGAAGACGGCCCUAUGGGUUGGUAAACUAGCUUUUACUACCGGAGAAAACCCCUUACUCGUGAGGAGGGCUGAUAGUAUGGUGAGAAUAAAGCAUCGGCUAAACUUCGUGCCAGCCGCC
rnacentral:rRNA from 1 species